GUGAGGAAUAUUGGUCAAUGGGCGAGAGCCUGAACCAGCCAAGUCGCGUGAAGGAAGAAGGAUCUAUGGUUCGUAAACUUCUUUUGCAGGGGUAUAAAGUGCGGGACGUGUCCUGUUUUGUAUGUACCCUGAGAAUAAGGAUCGGCUAACUCCGUGCCAGCAGCCGCGGUAAUACGGAGGAUCCGAGCGUUAUCCGGAUUUAUUGGGUUUAAAGGGUGCGUAGGUGGUUUGAUAAGUCAGCGGUGAAAGUUUGCAGCUUAACUGUAAAAAGUCCGGUGAAACUGUCGGACUUGAGUGUAAAUGAGGUAGGCGGAAUGCGUGGUGUAGCGGUGAAAUGCAUAGAUAUCACGCAGAACUCCGAUUGCGAAGGCAGCUUACUAAGCUACAACUGACACUGAAGCACGAAAGCGUGGGGAUCAAACAGGAUUAGAAACCCGUGUAGUCC
rnacentral:rRNA from 1 species